AAACCAUGCAUCAGGCUUUUUCUAAUUAAUUCCUUAAAACGUUCCCAAGCUUCAUAUAAUGUCUCAUCUUUAGAUUGUCUGAACGAUGUACUGACGUUCCUUAGCUU
rfam:Gossypium raimondii Chr02_contig_791, whole genome shotgun sequence.